AGCAGUCGCGCGGGAAUACGUAGGGGGCAAGCGUUAUCCGGAAUUACUGGGUGUAAAGGGAGCGUAGACGGUUAAACAAGUCUGAAGUGAAAUGCCGGGGCUCAACCCCGGAGCUGCUUUGGGAACUGUAGAACUGGAGUGUCGGAGGGGUAAGCGGAAUUCCCAGUGUAGCGGUGAAAUGCGUAGAUAUUGGGAGGAACACCGGCGGCGAAGGCGGCUUACUGGACGACAACUGACGUUGAGGCUCGAAGGCGUGGGUAGCAAACAGGAUUAGAGACCCGUGUAGUCCCUGUCUCUUAUACA
rnacentral:rRNA from 1 species